rnacentral:rRNA from 1 species
CAGUAGCCGCGGGAAUACGUAGGUGGCAAGCGUUGUCCGGAAUUAUUGGGCGUAAAGGGCUCGCAGGCGGUUUCUUAAGUCUGAUGUGAAAGCCCCCGGCUCAACCGGGGAGGGUCAUUGGAAACUGGGAAACUUGAGUGCAGAAGAGGAGAGUGGAAUUCCACGUGUAGCGGUGAAAUGCGUAGAGAUGUGGAGGAACACCAGUGGCGAAGGCGACUCUCUGGUCUGUAACUGACGCUGAGGAGCGAAAGCGUGGGGAGCGAACAGGAUUAGAUACCCCGGUAGUCCCUGUCUCUUAUAA